UGACAGCAUCUAAGAGAUUAUUAACAGGUUCAUGCUCAUGAGCCCAGGGCUGCUUGAAGUGUUGAAGUGAAUCCUUUCGAGAGCUAACAAUCAAUCCCUUUGAAUCCACCAACCAGAUCUUCUUGCGAGUCUCUUCAAUGGGAGCAUUGCUCCGUUUUGACAUCUCAAGAGCUAUAAGCUCUGCAAUACCAGUUCCAGCUUCCCCAGCACCAAGGAACAAGAAAGUGUGAUCAGCCAGGGAACCACCAAGCAACUUCAGUGCUGCAAUAACCCCUGCCAGAACAACAGAUGCUGUCCCCUGUAUGUCGUCGUUGAAGACCAGAUGAGUUGUACCAUACUUUGCAAGCAGCUCAAAAGCAUUAUGGUUAGCAAAAUCUUCAAACUGUACUAGGACUUUUUCUCCAUAGUUCUGCUUUACAGCAGUCAUGAAUUCAUGUAAAAGUUCAUAGUAUUCCUGGCCAGUUGCCCUUCUUUGUCUGAGUCCAAUGUAGAAUUCAUCCUUCAGCAAUUUCUCAUUGUUUGUACCCACAUCAAUGGUUAUAGGCAAACACGCAGAAGGACGGACUCCCCCAAGUGCAGUGUAUAGUGCCAAUUUCCCAACAGGAAUACCCAUCCCCUGACAGCCAAGAUCCCCAAGUCCCAAAAUACGCUCACCAUCUGUCACAACAAUAACUUGAAUACUUCUUUCAGGCCAGUUUUUCAAUACAUCAAGAAUCUUUCCCUUCUCCUUCAAACUUAUGUAUAGUCCCUGAGGACGCUUGAAGAUGCUUCCAUAUUUCUGACAAGCUUCACCUACUGUUGGAGUGUAAACAAUGGGAAGCAAUUCUUCAACAUUAUCAAUGAGAAGCUUGUAAAACAGCCUCUCAUUCCUCUCCUCAAGUUCCAUCAUGGCCAUAUAUUUUUGAAUAGGAAGUUGAUAUUGUCUUAUACUGUGCAUCAAUUUCUUCUCCUGAAGUUGUUGUGUUGCAACCACCGGGGGUAGAAGGCCACGCAGGUAGUGGGCAUCCCUCUCUUUCUCAGUGAAGGCAAGUCCUUUGUUAUGGCGUGGAUCCCUCAACAGCGAGUAUCCACUAGCAACGGAGAUAGUCCAGGGAGUGACGAGCUGAUCCUCGGUGGCGCAAUCCUCGCCGUAAACGUCCUCAACGCCACCGCCAACGGUAUUCUUGGGAUCCAUAUCGAGGACGGAGGCUCCGCCCCUUAUGUUCUUCAUUGUGCUCUCCAUUCUAAUGAAGCGUUGACUUCGUGUGACGAAGCAAAUGCAGCUAUGGAUCUGAAACUAGUGAGCAAGAAAUAGAGAGAAGAGAAGAGAAGAGAAGGUCAAUUUUGCAUCCAUGCUGGGAUGCCAAUAUUAAAAGGAUUCUUCAAGGAAGCUGGUACUUCCUGCUUCAUAGCAUGGCUCAAAAGGGUAUAGAAAGACAGCCAGCCCUCAUUGUUCUCACCUUUCUAAGUACAUGUCUAUUUUGUAGUUUUAAAAGAAGCAUCUUGUACUUCUAGACGUAAUUUGGUUGCAUUGUUGACCAAGUCUCAAUUUUAUUGGUAAAAAAAAAAAAGCAUGUGGAUUGCACAGAAAAAUUAAGAAAAUGAAAUGAAGAAAACAAUGUUGUUAACUGUUGCAGUAAGUCUUUUCAUGUGGUUGCUUUGUUACAUAAUCAGUGCAUUUUUCCUGUUUGUUUGAUGCGCUCCUGGUGCCGAAAAUUUCAUCAGGAAAUAAUUAUAAAUACAUGACAUUAUUUUUUAUUGCUCCUCUUCCUUUCUUCUCAAGUGCAAAGUGGAAUAUAUGUUAUCUAUACAUCUUAUGAUGUCUUGAUUAUCAUUUUUUUUGUAGACUAUAUGUGGAAAAUCCUAUGUGAAUUUUCUGUAAAUGUCUGAAUAGUUAUGGAAAAAUGCAACGCUUUUGUUCAUUUCAAACCCUCCUAAAAUUGAGUAGCUGAUUUAUUCAUCUCUAAAAUGUAAGGCUAAGCCAAAUACUUUUGUGCAACCACGUUGUAUGGGGGGAUUUGAGCACUAAAUUAUUAGGGCUGUACCAGAUGAUUAUUUUACAAGGUUUAUGCAAAAAGUAAAUUCCAGGAUGCAAUAGAAUCAAAUAAACUUUUGUGAAUUUGUAUUAUUAUGAUUUUUCUUUUGAUCCAUAGGUACUAUGCUCCUGCACUAGGGUUUUUGAUGUUUGCUGUUGGGGUCAAUUCCAGCGAAAAGGAUUUUAUUGAAGCAUUCAAGAGACCAGCAGCUAUUUUGGCUGGUUAUUUUGGUCAAUUUGUUGUGAAGCCUAUUCUUGGAUAUUUCUUUGGCAUAAUUUCUGUAUCAAUGUUUGGUCUUCCUACUCCUAUAGGUGAGAUUCUAUCUGUCUUACCUCCAGAACUGCUAAGGCUGUGCUAACAUUUUGUGAAUCUAUGAGCUAGGUGCUGGGAUCAUGUUAGUAUCUUGUGUUAGUGGGGCCCAGCUAUCAAAUUAUGCUACUUUUCUGACUGACCCACCAAUGGCUCCUUUAAGCAUUGUCAUGACAUCAUUGUCUACUGCUACUGCGGUUUUUGUUACACCCUUAUUAUCGUUCUUGCUUAUUGGAAAGAGACUGCCUGUUGAUGUAAAAGGAAUGGUAUCCAGCAUUCUGCAGAUAGUAGUCGCCCCUAUUGCUGCAGGAUUGUUUCUAAACAGGUUCUUUCCCAGGAUUGCUAAUGCUGUUAGGCCAUUUCUGCCUCCUCUUUCAGUACUCGUGACAGCCUGUUGUGUUGGGGCACCACUUGCUAUUAAUGUCAAGUCAGUUGUAUCGCCUUUUGGAGCAACCAUAUUAUCACUUAUUAUUUCAUUUCAUGUGCUGGCAUUUGUGGCUGGUUAUGUUCUUACUGGUCUUGUCUUCCCCAAGGCACCUGACCUAAAAGCACUUCAAAGAACAAUGUCGUUUGAGACCGGAAUGCAAAGCAGUCUUCUGGCCCUUGCACUUGCAAAUAGGUUUUUCCAAGAUCCACUUGUGGCUGUGCCUCCAGCAAUCUCUACUGUAAUGAUGUCUUUGAUGGGCUUCUUUCUUGUAAUGGUUUGGUCUAAGAAGAAAGAAGUAUGAGGAAACAUAUCUUGUUCAAAUUUCUGGAGUUUGAUAUAUUGCAACUAUGUCCUUUGCUGACUUGGUAAUAGUUUUGAUGGGUUUCUCUCUCAUUGUUCCUUGUGUUGAGAAAAAGGAGUAGCAACAACAAAAACUAGCCUGAGGUAUCAUUCUCCUGGGGUCAGAUACAUUCCUGUAACCAUGAAGCUGUCGAAAAGCUUGUGAAGAAGGAUCAUAUAGAUUACUUUUGUUUCUGUAUGUAGCUCAUUUCUGACAGGUCAAGGAACUCAGGUGUAUAAUUUAUCUCUAUUGAUUGUAGUUGAGAGACAUGCUAAGAAUCAUGAUAAAUUCUGCAUCAGAAAAUGUAUGCAAACCACAAGAACUGAAAGUUGUCACAUCUCAAAACACUUAUACUUGCUAUUAUAUGACCCUUUGUAUUUGUUGGGAUCUUUAUGAACUUGCACCUUUGAGAAGCGUAUGAGGCCUGUUCUGCUCUGAGUGACUGAGCUGUCAUGUGAAAGUUUGCAGCAGUGUUUUUAAAACCAGAAUUGACCAGUUCGAAUACUUAUGGAUUAAUUGGGAAGUAAAACUAAAAAGCAGUAAAGCUACAUGUCGUUUAUGGAUGGGCGUGCUGCUUGUGUUGAUGAUCGUUAACAGAAAAAAAAAAAUAAAAUAAAAAAUUAAAAAAGGGGUUAAGUGCCGAAAUGCUCAAUUGAUGAAAGCUCUUAUACUUGGACUCUUCCAUUUACCAUGCCAU
rnacentral:misc_RNA from 1 species